ensembl:rRNA 5S_rRNA 5S ribosomal RNA
CCUAGCUGACCUUGAAUGAUUACAGAAGCUAAGCAUGGUUUUUCCAGUUUUGUAUCUGAAUGGGUGACCCCCUGGGAAUUUCCACAGAGGUAGUUAGAC